rnacentral:rRNA from 1 species
AUUGAACGCUGGCGGCAGGCCUAACACAUGCAAGUCGAACGGUAACAGGAAGCAGCUUGCUGCUUUGCUGACGAGUGGCGGACGGGUGAGUAAUGUCUGUGAAACUGCCUGAUGGAGGGGGAUAACUACUGGAAACGGUAGCUAAUACCGCAUAACGUCGCAAGACCAAAGAGGGGGACCUUCGGGCCUCUUGCCAUCGGAUGUGCCCAGAUGGGAUUAGCUAGUAGGUGGGGUAACGGCUCACCUAGGCGACGAUCCCUAGCUGGUCUGAGAGGAUGACCAGCCACACUGGAACUGAGACACGGUCCAGACUCCUACGGGAGGCAGCAGUGGGGAAUAUUGCACAAUGGGCGAAAGCCUGAUGCAGCCAUGCCGCGUGUAUGAAGAAGGCCUUCGGGUUGUAAAGUUCUUUCAGCGGGGAGGAAGGGAGUAAAGUUAAUACCUGUGCUUAUUGACGUUACCCGAAGAAGAAGCACCGGCUAACUCCGUG